rnacentral:lncRNA from 10 species
AAGUGCGGGAUCUGGAUGGCUGCUUUGGGUGCUUCCAGGAGCAGGCUGCGUGCAGGCCUGGCAGCAGUGCCCAGGUUGGGGUGCCUGCAACCCCUGAAGCUCCAGAGGGCAUGUUACAGUGUUCUUUUAGCUCUGCCGUCUGUGGACAGUGGCUGAAAUGCAGUGGCAUGAUCUUAGCUCACUACAACCUCUGCCUCCUGGGUUCAAGAGAUUCUCACGUCUCAGCCACCUAAGUACAUGGGAUUACAGUAUGAAAACGUCACACUAUCUUUGCUCAGAUCUGUGCCAGAAUCAACUUUUAAUGCUAUAUUUAAUAGAGAAAAUGAUGAGGAAGUUUCUGCAAAGAAGGAAUGACAGAAUUAGAAUAUAACAAUUUUGCAAUGCCUAAUGAAUUACUGGAUCUAGGCAACAUUCAUCAAUGGCUGCUAAUAUUAUAGAAAGAAAGAAAACCAGACAUUAUAUAUCUCAUGCUAGAAGUGCACAAGACCACUUAAAUAGUCUUCCCCUCCACCAAAAUCCAACCUGAGUCUGAUCAUACCUUGAAAUCAAUCUACCAUGUUGAGAAAAUACUCAAGGGAAGGCCAGGAGUGGAGAUUCACACCUGUAAUCCCAGCACUUUGGGAGGCCAAGGUGGGUGGAUGGAUUACUUGAGGUCAGGAGCUCAAGAACAGCCUGGCCAACAUCACGAAACCCCAGUCUCUAAUAAAAAUACAAAAAUUAGGUGGGCCUGGUGGUGUGCGCCUGUAGUCCCAGCUACUUGGGAGGCUGAGGCACAAGAAUCACUUGAACCUAGGAGGCAAAGGUUGCAGUGAGUCAAGCUCGCACUACUGCACUCCAGCCUGGGCGACAGAGUGAGAGACUCUGUCUCAAAAAAAAGAAAAAAAAAAAAAAGGCCGGGUGUGGUGGCUCACACCUGUAAUCCCAGCACUUUGGGAGGCCAUGGCAGGCGGAUCACCUGAGGUCAGGAGUUUGAGACCAGCCUGGCAACAUGGUGAAACCCCGUCUCUCCUAAAAAUACAAAAAUUAGCUGGGCAUGGUGGCGCAUGCCUGUAGUCCCAGCUUCUCAGGAGGCUGAGGAAGGAGAAGUGCUUGAACCCAGGAGGUGGAGGUUGCAGUGAGCUGAGAUUGUGCCCUCCAGCCUGGCAACAGAGUGAGACUCCAUCUCAAAAAAACAAAAAACAAAAAACAAGGGAAGAAGUAACAUCAUACAUGAGACCUUGGAGAUGCAAUCAGAAAACUCUAGAAUGUAGAAAACUGUAUAGCAGGGCCGGGUGCGGUGGCUCACGCCUGUAAGCCCAGCACUUUGGCAGGCCGAGGCAGGCGGAUCAUGAGGUCAAGAGAUCGAGAGCAUCCUGGCCAACAUGGUGAAACCCCGUCUCUACUAAAAAUACAAAAAUUAGCUGGGCGUGGUGGCAAGUGCCUGUAGUCCCAGCUACUCAGGAGGCUGAGGCAGGAGAAUCGCUUGAAUCUGGGAGGUGGAGGUUGCAGUGAGCCAAGAUCAUGCCACUGCACUGCAGCCUGGCAACAGAGCGAGACUCCGUCUCAAAAAAAAAAAAAACACACACAACAACAACUGUAUAGGACAAGUAAAUUAGUUUUUCAUCAACAACAAUGAUGGAGAGUGGUGUAUGAAUCAGAGAGAGAGGAGGAGAGAGAAGGGGAACAGAGGGAAGGCAAGGAGAAAGGAGAGGAGAGGACUAAGAGACAUCAAAACCAACCACAAUGUAUGGACCUUAUUUGGCUUCCAAUCUAAACACACUGU